AGUGGACGCUGGCGGUAGGCCUAACACAUGCAAGUCGAACGGCAGCACAGUAAGAGCUUGCUCUUACGGGUGGCGAGUGGCGGACGAGUGAGGAAUACAUCGGAAUCUACUUUUUCGUGGGGGAUAACGUAGGGAAACUUACGCUAAUACCGCAUACGACCUACGGGUGAAAGCAGGGGAUCUUCGGACCUUGCGCGAUUGAAUGAGCCGAUGUCGGAUUAGCUAGUUGGCGGGGUAAAGGCCCACCAAGGCGACGAUCCGUAGCUGGUCUGAGAGGAUGAUCAGCCACACUGGAACUGAGACACGGUCCAGACUCCUACGGGAGGCAGCAGUGGGGAAUAUUGGACAAUGGGCGCAAGCCUGAUCCAGCCAUACCGCGUGGGUGAAGAAGGCCUUCGGGUUGUAAAGCCCUUUUGUUGGGAAAGAAAAGCAGCAGGUUAAUACCCCGCUGUUCUGACGGUACCCAAAGAAUAAGCACCGGCUAACUUCGUG
rnacentral:rRNA from 1 species